rnacentral:tRNA from 7 species
GCGCCGCUAGCUCAACGGAUAGAGCAUCUGACUACGGAUCAGAAGGUUGGGGGUUCGAAUCCCUCGCGGCGCACCA